AGAUUUCGCCGGGGUGCUCCUAUAUUCUGCGCAGUGAUACGGGUUUCUCCGCCCAAAGCGCGUAAAUCGCAGGAGGAUCUGCGAGCAGUGGGUGGACGGCCUACCGUGGUAUCAGGAUGUAGCACCUGCUGAUUGAGUUGAUG